AUACUGGUCCUGGAUUUGAGUUUCUGAGGCUAUGGCACCAGAAUCCCCAAAGCCAGCCCCCAGGAGUUUGGCAAGUGCUGGCCUGUGCCCUGUGUUCUCUCAUCCCUGAGAUCUCUGGGCCGCAGUUGGAACCCCCAGUAUACAGAUGAGCAAACGGAACACAGCCAGGAGCCCAGGCAUAUGCGAGCGUGUUCAUGGCAGCCUUGCUGGCAAGAAUAACACAGCCAGAAGAGAGCCGUGUCAGUUGGCACGCGCUGCCGGAAGAAACCACCAUUCCGGAACAAUCCAGCAGUCCUCUCAGACGUGGAACCAGAGCCAGGCCACGCCGGAUCGCCAGUUCCCACUUCACACUGAGGCUGUCCGAGGGGCUUCAGAACGUUUCUGGUGGGGGAAUGGAUCCAACAAGGUCAUGGAGUUUUUUCCGGGAACUUUUUGAAGCCCCCUUGUAUGAUGUGGUGGGGGGGGGGAAAGAAGGAAGCAAUCUAUGACUAAUAUCCCUCCUCUUGUUUCUGUCAGAGGAAACAAAGCAAUCGACACAGAUCUUCCCACGUCUAGAAGGGCUGGAAGCACCAGAGCCGUGGGCACCGGCAUGAAGCUGCGUCCAGAGCAGGCUCAGAGCGGCGAUGGGAAAGCAGCCCGGCGACUGGAGAAAUGAUCCACCCGGUCAACGGAGGCAGUGGAAAACCAUCCUGGACCUGCUGCCUCCUCAGUGGCUCCCAGCGCCCACAGGACAAAGCCCCAACUCCCUACCCCAACUGUCCAGGCCUGCCUGCGUCCAGCCUCAGCUUACAUCUUGGCCUUAACAGUGUGGCCAGAGGGACACGUGACACCAGCCAAUCUGGCCCUGGAUGGAGCUCACCCAGGCUGACAGUGUGACCUCCCUCCCUCCCCUAGCCUUGCUCAACAUCCCUGCUUCCACAGCCAGACCCACAUCCCCAUCCAGGGUCAACCCCGCCCCCCACAUUCAGCUCUUACACAUCGAAUCCCACCUUGGUGUUGCCUUAUCAGAGGGCCCAAAUAAACACACCCAUUUUAUAGAUGGGGAAACUGA